rnacentral:rRNA from 1 species
AGUGAACGCUGGCGGUAGGCCUAACACAUGCAAGUCGAACGGCAGCACAGUAAGAGCUUGCUCUUACGGGUGGCGAGUGGCGGACGGGUGAGGAAUACAUCGGAAUCUACUUUUUCGUGGGGGAUAACGUAGGGAAACUUACGCUAAUACCGCAUACGACCUACGGGUGAAAGCAGGGGAUCUUCGGACCUUGCGCGAUUGAAUGAGCCGAUGUCGGAUUAGCUAGUUGGCGGGGUAAAGGCCCACCAAGGCGACGAUCCGUAGCUGGUCUGAGAGGAUGAUCAGCCACACUGGAACUGAGACACGGUCCAGACUCCUACGGGAGGCAGCAGUGGGGAAUAAUGGACAAUGGGCGCAAGCCUGAUCCAGCCAUACCGCGUGGGUGAAGAAGACCUUCGGGUUGUAAAGCCCUUUUGUUGGGAAAGAAAAGCAGCAGGUUAAUACCCCGCUGUUCUGACGGUACCCAAAGAAUAAGCACCGGCUAACUUCGUG